AUACUGCAGGAACGUUGUUGGGAACGAGGUGGGAAUACUGCAGGAACGUUGUUGGGAACGAGGUGGGAAUACUGCAGGAACGUUGUUGGGAACGAGGUGGGAAUACUGCAGGAACGUUGUUGGGAACGAGGUGGGAAUACUGCAGGAACGUUGUCGGGAACGAGGUGGGAAUACUACAGGAACGUUGUUGGGAACGAGGUGGGAAUACUGCAGGAACGUUGUUGGGAACGAGGUGGGAAUACUGCAGGAACGUUGUUGGGAACGAGGUGGGAAUACUGCAGGAACGUUGUUGGGAACGAGGUGGGAAUACUGCAGGAACGUUGUUGGGAACGAGGUGGGAAUACUGCAGGAACGUUGUUGGGAACGAGGUGGGAAUACUGCAGGAACGUUGUCGGGAACGAGGUGGGAAUACUGCAGGAACGUUGUUGGGAACGAGGUGGGAAUACUGCAGGAACGUUGUCGGGAACGAGGUGGGAAUACUGCAGGAACGUUGUUGGGAACGAGGUGGGAAUACUGCAGGAACGUUGUCGGGAACGAGGUGGGAAUAC